rnacentral:rRNA from 1 species
GAUAGAGGAUGCAAGCGUUAUCCGGAAUGAUUGGGCGUAAAGCGUCUGUAGGUGGCUUUUCAAGUCCGCCGUCAAAUCCCAGGGCUCAACCCUGGACAGGCGGUGGAAACUACCAAGCUGGAGUACGGUAGGGGCAGAGGGAAUUUCCGGUGGAGCGGUGAAAUGCAUUGAGAUCGGAAAGAACACCAACGGCGAAGGCACCAUCCUGGGGAGUCACUGACGCUCGGGUGCGAAAGCUAGGGGAGCGAACGGG